rnacentral:rRNA from 1 species
GAUGAACGCUGGCGGCGUGCCUAAUACAUGCAAGUCGAGCGCACGGACGAGAAGCUUGUUCCACUGGUGUUAGCGGCGGACGGGUGAGUAACACGUGGAUAACCUACCUAUAAGACUGGGAUAACUUCGGGAAACCGGUGCUAAUACCGGAUAAUAUUUUUAACCGCAUGGUUCAAGAGUGAAAGACGGUCUUGCUGUCCCUAAUAGAUAUAUCCGCGCUGAUUUAGCUAGUUGGUAAGGUAACGGCCUACCAAGGCAACGAUGAAUAGCCGCCCUGAGAGGGGAAUGGGCCAAAUUGGAACGGAGACACGGCCCAGACUCCAACGGGAGGCAGCAGUAGGGAAUCUUCGGCAAUGGGCGAAAGCCUGACGGGGCAACGCCGGGUGGGGGAGGAAGGUCUUCGGAUCGUAAAACUCUGUGAUAAGGGAAGAACAUGGGGGUAAGUAACUGUGCACAUCUUGACGGUACCUAAUCAGAAAGCCACGGCUAACUACGUG